GUCACGACACAGCGGUGUAGGAUGUAGCUCAGGACGUGGCUAACGAGCUACUAGUUACAGUAGGACGUCAGGAAAAUAAAAAACCUCGGGAUUAGGAUCUGUUUCACUACAUGUUCAAGGGGGUUGUGUGUCUCUUUUCCCGGACAGAUUGUUUCUGCCUGAUGUCGCAGUUUUACCUCCAGAGCUGAAUGGAAGCAUUUCAGGCCUUUUGUGAGUGAGGAGGCUGUGUAUCCCAGGUAUGUACCAUGGGGUACGACAUUACGAGGUUCCAAGGGGAGGUGGAUGAAGACCUGCUGUGCCCCAUCUGCAGUGGAGUGCUGGAAGAACCAGUGCAGGUCAGU